GAAUCUGCCUGGUAGUGGGGGACAACGUUUCGAAAGGAACGCUAAUACCGCAUACGUCCUACGGGAGAAAGCAGGGGACCUUCGGGCCUUGCGCUAUCAGAUGAGCCUAGGUCGGAUUAGCUAGUUGGUGAGGUAAUGGCUCACCAAGGCGACGAUCCGUAACUGGUCUGAGAGGAUGAUCAGUCACACUGGAACUGAGACACGGUCCAGACUCCUACGGGAGGCAGCAGUGGGGAAUAUUGGACAAUGGGCGAAAGCCUGAUCCAGCCAUGCCGCGUGUGUGAAGAAGGUCUUCGGAUUGUAAAGCACUUUAAGUUGGGAGGAAGGGCAGUAAGCUAAUACCUUGCUGUUUUGACGUUACCGACAGAAUAAGCACCGGCUAACUCUGUGCCAGCAGCCGCGGUAAUACAGAGGGUGCAAGCGUUAAUCGGAAUUACUGGGCGUAAAGCGCGCGUAGGUGGUUUGUUAAGUUGGAUGUGAAAGCCCCGGGCUCAACCUGGGAACUGCAUCCGAAACUGGCGAGCUAGAGUACGGUAGAGGGUGGUGGAAUUUCCUGUGUAGCGGUGAAAUGCGUAGAUAUAGGAAGGAACACCAGUGGCGAAGGCGACCACCUGGACUGAUACUGACACUGAUGUGCGAAAGCGUGGGGAGCAAACACGAUUAGAUACCCUGGUAGUCCACGCCGUAGACGAUGUCAACUAGCCGUUGGAAUCCUUGAGAUUUUACUGGCGCAGCUAACGCAGUAAGUUGACCGCCUGGCGAGUACGGCCGCAAGGUUAGGACUCACAUGAAUUGACCGG
rnacentral:rRNA from 1 species